GAUGAACGCUGGCGGCGUGCCUAAUACAUGCAAGUCGAGCGAACAGACGAUGAGCUUGCUCCUCUGACGUUAGCGGUGGACGGGUGAGUAACACGUGGAUAACCUACCUAUAAGACUGGGAUAACUUCGGGAAACCGGAGCUAAUACCGGAUAACAUGUUGAACCGCAUGGUUCAACAGUUAAAGACGGUCUUGCUGUCACUUAUAGAUGGAUCCGCGCCGCAUUAGCUAGUUGGUAAGGUAACGGCUUACCAAGGCAACGAUGCGUAGCCGACCUGACAGGAUGAUAAGCCACACGGGAACUGAGACACGGUCCAGACUCCUACGGGAGGCAGCAGUGGGGAAUAGUGGACAAUGGGCGCAAGCCUGAUCCAGCCAUACCGCGUGGGUGAAGAAGGCCUUCGGGUUGUAAAGCCCUUUUGUGGGGAAAGAAAAGCAGCAGGUUAAUACCCCGCUGUUCUGACGGUACCCAAAGAAUAAGCACCGGCUAACUUCGUG
rnacentral:rRNA from 1 species